CUGCGAUGGAGUCCAUGGAUGAAGCUGAAGGACAACCAGGACAGCUGAACAGGAAAGAGCAGUCCCUGAAAGCCUCCCAGAAAACAGCACUGCUUGGUUGGGCUGCCUGGUGGAAUGGAUUCAUGACUGGAGACAGCGUGUAUCUGUUUGUCCUCUCGCAGAUACUGCUUCUCUGCAUGAUGUUGUGGUACAGCGCUUAUGGGACCAUCCCAGCAGCUCAGAAUGCCUUUGACCUGCUGUCUUACCUGCUUACCCCAUUUGAACGAUUUUUGUCAGGUCAGGGGGAGGUAAGUCCCUGUGCUCUUCUCUCUGAUUGUAUGGUUGAUGUCAGUAGCUUUGCAUGAUGUUUCCAAUAUCUCUUUAGACUACAUGUAUGAUACACAUGCACUCAGAAUAAUAUCGUGACUGCUGCAUUGUGUGUAUGUUCUGAAAAGUAUUUUCUGAAAGCACUUUCAUAUUUUAUUUUCAAGAAACAGGGCUAGAUUUUUGUUUAUGAUGUUACAUCAGCUCAAUGGAUUUUUUUUUAUAACGUACAAAUGAUUGCAAAUGAAACAAAGCAAUAAGAAAUCAGCCCUUUAAGGCUUAGCCGACAUAAAGGAAGAGCUGGAACUUCAUUUAUUAGAAUCGAUAAAAAUUUAAAUUCUGGAAGAAUGAAUGAAGCUGCAUAAAGGGUGCAGAUCACAAGAUACUCUGUCACAAAAUUCUGUUUUUGUUGAGUGUUUAGAGCAUAUCUGGAUGUGGUGAAAGUAUUUCAGGUGUACUAGGAGUAUAGAUACAAUUAUAUCUUCAAAGCUACCUCAGUAAAAUUGCUUAACUUCUCACCAUGACAUAAUGACACACAUACUGGUAUGAUUCAUUUGAUUAAUUACUGGGGUAAUUAUACCCAGUGUAGAUUCUGCUAGCAUGGACAGAACCUUAAUUAAAUGGUGAGCAGCUACUUUCAAAAAUCAGGUGAAAUAUAAUUGUUAUCAGAAUGUUUAGAUUCAUUGUACAUGAUCUUUGUAAAGGAGGCUAAGCAGUACAAACAGAAAAUCUGAGUCAGUGCCUCUUGUGGCUUAAGUACAGCGGAGACUGUUUUCUGUGUUCCCUUAACAGUGUUUGAGCUGCAUGUCACCUGUUCUUUUCUUUAUUUGAAAGAAGCACUUUCUCUUUGUCCUUCCUUGGUUGGAUUUAUUAUGAUGCAUAAUCAAAGCUCUUCAUAGAGCAUUGCCUGUAUCUUAUUUGCAGUGGGCCUAUCAUUAACAAAUUGUUCUUUACAAAAUUGUUGAUUUAUAGGACUUUAACUGAAAACUGUGAGGACUGAAAACUGAGGACUUUAACUGUUCUGUGAGUUCAGUGUGGAGAAAAGUGAUUCCUAGAAUGCACUACAGGAACACCCUGAGUAUGACUCUGUGCAGAUGUUCAUGCAUAUCUUUGAGAACUGUUUAUUAUAGCACUAUCUACAGUACAAAUUUAUACUUGAGAACAGUAAAGGCAAAGAAAUUUGACAUUUAAAUAAAACUCUUAACUCUGAAUUUCUUUCUAGCA
rnacentral:lncRNA from 1 species